UGGUCACAGCCGCUAUUAUCUAUUGGGGGCUGCGAUUUCUGAAGUUCGCUGUGCAUAUUCGUGAGGUCUGUGUCUUGACGGCUCCAUUUUUCGCAUCAAAUACCACAUUGGUUGCUUACUUUUUCGGGAAAGAAAUCUGGGACUCGGGUGCUGGGCUUGUUGCAGCCGCUUUGAUAGCUAUUUGUCCAGGUUACAUUUCUAGAUCUGUUGCGGGAUCGUAUGAUAAUGAAGGGGUUGCCAUUUUUGCGUUGUUAUUGACAUUCUAUCUAUUCGUGAAGGCGGUGAAUACUGGAUCUCUUGCUUGGGCUCUAGCCUCGGCUUUUGGGUACUUUUACAUGGUUUCGGCAUGGGGUGGCUAUGUAUUUAUAAUUAACUUGAUUCCACUUUAUGUGCUGGUUCUUCUGAUAACGGGAAGAUACUCAAUGCGAUUGUAUGUGGCGUAUAAUUGUAUGUAUAUCUUGGGAAUGUUGCUUGCCAUGCAAAUUCGAUUUGUUGGUUUUCAGCAUGUUCAGUCAGGGGAGCAUAUGGCUGCGAUGGGUGUCUUCUUCUUGAUUCAGG
rnacentral:misc_RNA from 1 species